AUUGAACGCUGGCGGCAUGCCUUACACAUGCAAGUCGAACGGCAGCGGACCUUCGGGUGCCGGCGAGUGGCGAACGGGUGAGUAAUAUAUCGGAACGUACCUUUCAGUGGGGGAUAACGUAGCGAAAGUUACGCUAAUACCGCAUAUUCUGUGAGCAGGAAAGCAGGGGAUCGCAAGACCUUGCGCUGAUUGAGCGGCCGAUAUCAGAUUAGCUAGUUGGUGAGGUAAAGGCUCACCAAGGCGACGAUCUGUAGCGGGUCUGAGAGGAUGAUCCGCCACACUGGAACUGAGACACGGUCCAGACUCCUACGGGAGGCAGCAGUAGGGAAUCUUGCGCAAUGGGCGAAAGCCUGACGCAGCAACGCCGCGUGCGGGACGAAGGCCCUCGGGUUGUAAACCGCUUUCAGUAGGAACGAAACUGACGGUACCUGCAGAAGAAGGUGCGGCCAACUACGUG
rnacentral:rRNA from 1 species